AUGUGCGGCCUAGAUACCGCCAGCCCCAAUUUGUUCGUUCAGCUAAUCGGCUCGGCUCCAUCGGCACGCCAAAUCUACACGACCAGCGGCGCGAGCGAUUCCCGGGCGUCCGGCUCCGGCUCCGGCUCCGACUCCGAGGACCGCCGGAGGAGGCGGAGCGGGAGCGCCAAGCGCGGGGGCGUCACCGAGGAGCAGAUCCUGGACUACAUGUCCAAGAAAGCGCAGAAGAAGAUUGUUCGAUAUCCCAAACUGUUUGAUCGCGCUGUAACUGAAGGGAAGAAUGUGGACAUUUCUGUCAAAGCUGAAAAGAAAAGGCAGAGGGAAAGAAUGGNNNNNNNNNNCAAAUUUAGGUCUGAGAUCAGGUUACGGGAGGGACGUACAAAGCCUAUUGAUGUUCUCCUGAAGAAUCUUAACUUUGCAGACGAAUUUGAUGUUGAGUUAAAUGAGCCCUACUUGGUGUUCAAGGGUAUCCUAUCAAGCUCUAAAACUAAGAUCCAUUCGUACAUAUCUUGUUCUCUUUAUUUUCACUCACAAAAUCGUCAGCCAGCCAUGAAUAUUAUGUUAAAUUUAAGGCCAGACGUGUUGACAUACAAGUUCANNNNNNNNNNNNNNNNNNUACGUGAUGACAUUAAGAUGCAUCUCGAUCUGGACAGGGAAAGCCAAGUAAAUGUCAAGUACUGGGAGGCACUCAUGGUAGUGUGUGAUUGGGAGCUAGGUGAGGCUCAUAAAAGAGAUGUCGUGGACCGGGCUAGGGUGCGUGGUGAGGAACCACCCCGUGAGGUUGAACAGAGAGGCUUGCAUGCAAGUAUUACUUCCACAGAGCUAGAAGAGAUGCAAAAUCAAAUUGAGUCCCAGAUGCGCUCUGGAACUGCAAAAGUUGAGGCCAUUUUGAAACGCCUUCAUAUAUACUCCCUCCGUCCGAAAAUACUUGCUUGCCUGAGGGCAAUCCAUGCUUCUCUCUUACGGAAGCAUCUGCAUCGUCUAGAGAAUGCUGGUGCUCCUGAACAGGCUGUAGAAGCUGAUGAAGAAUUAGACACUAAAGAGGAGGAUGUGAUGCACGAUGAGGAAGAAGAUGAUAAACGAUAUUCGCCAGAACCUAUAGAACAUAUAGUUGAAGCAACAGAGAGCCAUUUGGAUGAGGAUGAUGGCUCCUUCUCGCCCGAGUUAAUGCAUGGCAAUGAAGAUGAAGAUGCAAUUGAUCCUGACGAGGACAAGGCAGAACUGCUAAGGCAAAAAAAAACAGAUGAGUUGGAACUGAAGGCAAUGAAAGCGAUGGGAGCAGUGGAGGAAGGGGACGCUGUAUUUGGUUCAGGUGCUGAAGUGAACCUGGAUUCACAGGUGUACUGGUGGCAUGACAAGUACCGACCAAGGAAACCAAAGUACUUCAAUAGUGUGCAUACUGGAUAUGAGUGGAACAAAUACAAUCAAGCUCAUUAUGAUCAUGACAACCUGCCUCCUAAAAUUGUCCAGGGCUACAAGUUCAACAUAUUUUACCCUGAUCUUGUGGAUAAAUCAAAAGNNNACCAAUGUACACUAGAGAAAGAUGGAAGUGCUGGGGAGACAUGCCAUAUAAGGUUUCAUGCUGGCCCUCCAUACGAGGAUAUUUCUUUCCGCAUCGUGAACAAGGAGUGGGAGUACUCACACAAGAAGGGCUUCAAGUGCACGUUUGAGCGUGGGAUUCUUCAUCUCUAUUUCAACUUCAAGCGAUACCGCUACAGGCGAUAG
rnacentral:rRNA from 1 species